rnacentral:rRNA from 1 species
UACAGAGGUCCCAGCGUUGUUCGGAUUCAUCGUGGCGUAAAGGGUGCGUAGGCGGCGCGGUAAGUCGGGUGUGAAAUCUCGGGGCUUAACUCCGAAACUGCAUUCGAUACUGCCGUGCUUGAGGACUGGGGAGGAGACUGGAAUUUACGGUGUAGCAGUGAAAUGCGUAGAGAUCGUAAGGAAGACCAGUGGCGAAGGCGGGUCUCUGGACAGUUCCUGACACUGAGGCACGAAGGCCAGGGGAGCAAACGGG